UACGUAGGGUGCGAGCGUUGUCCGGAAUUACUGGGCGUAAAGAGCUCGUAGGUGGUUUGUCGCGUUGUCCGUGAAAACUCACAGCUCAACUGUGGGCGUGCGGGCGAUACGGGCAGACUGGAGUACUGCAGGGGAGACUGGAAGUUCCUGGUGUAGCGGUGGAAUGCGCAGAUAUCAGGAGGAACACCGGUGGCGAAGGCGGGUCUCUGGGCAGUAACUGACGCUGGAGGAGCGAAAGCGUGGGGAGCGAACAGG
rnacentral:rRNA from 1 species